UUUUACUUCGGGACCUCUAAUGCGGCUCUUCUUUGGAACCGAAGGGAACUGCAGGAUCUGUCUCUCCCUUCAGGGCCUCCUCAUGGCUGUCUAUGGCCUUGAUGAUACCUCCGCUGCUCUUCCAAUAAGGCUCCCCUUAAAAGUCCAUGAUGGCCAGAGAUGGCCUCAGAGGCUGAAGGAGGCUGGGAAGAUUGGUUCCAAGGUAUUACACUGCACAGCAAACGCUUCCAGAAAUCUCAUCACUAAGUUGGUUUGCCUGGCAAUUUUCUGCCAUUGAGAUCAUGUUGGGUUUCUCCCAGGAGCUUCGAAGUCCACUUGUCCUUUAGGAAGGCAUCACUGGGCUACACUUCUAUUGGAACAGAGCAUGGAUACUUGUCUGAGAAGAAGAUGUCUUAACUAUGGCUAUCCCCGAGCAAAGGCCCAGCUGCUGGAAACGUUUUACCAGCUGAGCGAGCAUGUUCAAUCUGAUUUAUAAUAUUGAUCAUCAGAAACCAAGUGCAUUGCCAGCCCCAGAAAAUCAGCUUCAGAGACAGCAGCUGGGCCCCCAGGACCAUCUUCUUGGAGGAGCACAUCUCUGAGGAGAGGAAGUUGAAGCAAAGGAUUAACCACAUGUCCCAGGGCAGAGGGCCAGGGACUCUAACCUGCAGCAGCUGGAGACACGGGCAGCAAGGAGCUGUCAGGAGCAAAGAUGGGUGUGUGGCAAAACAGAGGACCUUACAGUAGAAACAUCUACCUUCGUUGCUAUUGUUUGGAGAAAGAGUCCUACUAUGCGUAACACAGCAUGCCCACCUUACACUUUUUCUCUGUGUGAGCUGAGUUAGAGCUGCGGUGGUCUGGGAAGCGAGAGUGUCUUCAUGUCAACUGUCUCAGGUGGCUGAGGUGAUCAUCACGCACAAGCACAGCAAAUACUCUUUACCCUGUCUCUUUCAUGGUUUAUAAAUCUGUGUAUAUGAAUGUGAGUCAACAGAAAGAUAACGUGUCAGGUUCUGUUCAGUGCCAACAUUAGCAACGGACAGUUUAUAGUCACAUGGUUUACCUAAGGAAGGGGGUGGGUGGGAAAUGGAGAGAAGGGAGAGCCAUGUGGCUGGGAACAGUGACACAUGCCUGAGAGAUGGAGGCAGGAGGAUUAUAAGUCCCGAGCUAGCCUCAACUACAUAGAAAGACAGUUUCUACAAAAACAAAUGAGUAGAUAAAUAAGCACAAUUUCA
rnacentral:lncRNA from 1 species